rnacentral:lncRNA from 1 species
CAAGGUAUAUAAUACAUAAGUUCGUUAACUGUGAUGAGUCUAGACGGAUGUUAACCCUUAUCUGUUUCUUAAUCCAUAAAUCAAAAACAAUUUUUUUUGACGAUGUCAUGUGGGUUUAUCUGCUCGGUACAUACAAAGGUUUAUUUUUUUAAAUGGGUAUGAAUAGAAUUGUAAAACAUAUGACCGAGAACGCUAUUUUCUGAAGCUGUUAACAUUACUCUUUAAUUCUUGAGGAUAUACCAUAUAUAAUUAUUAAGUAACCAUGAAUGGGUGUGCUCAUGAAUGACUUAACACUGAUGAUUCUAUGGUUGGCAGUUAUAAAGAUACAAAUCGGGAUUAUUGUGUAUUUCCUUCCCCUCACAGCUUCUCGCAGAUCAUCUAAUAUAACGUCAUGUCAGCUAAUCUGCUCUCCUCCGAAAUAUUAAUCAAAUUGUCAGGAUUACCAUGUUAUUUUUCCGUUUCUUUUUUAGGAUACCGACAGGUCAUAUUUUAUACAGCUCUAGGCAUAGAUCAUCUUAAAAAUACUGGACUAAUUAGAAUGUGUAUUCCAUUGAAUUAUAAUUUCGUUUGGGUAAUGAUCUUAUUUUUUAUGGGAUCUGUAAGUAAAAUUUUGUAGUUAUAUAAAUAUUUACAUAAAUGUAUAUAUAUCUCGAUGUGAUAUUUAAAGUUAAAUAUUAUUUGAAUAUUAAGCCAUUCAAUCCCAGGUUCCCAGAUGAGUUUUGAGAAAAUAAACAUAAAAACUGUUCUAAAAAUUGCUAAAAAUCAGUGAAUUUUAAAAGUAAAUAGCUAAAAAUCAAUUAAUCUUAAUAACAAAAAUAGCUAAUUUUAUUUGAAAAUAUUUAUUUGUUUAAAACCUCUGUAAAACUUAACUAUACAAGUAAAAAUAUUAAAAUAUGUGAAUCGUUUAUAGAUCAAUGAACUAAUUUUUCCUGAUUUUAACUAUGAAAUAAACUGUUAAACUAAACAAGGUGGCAUUUGACAUGUGAUCGAGAUGUAUUUGAAAAAUUGAGACUUUUAGAUCCCCAUGAAUCAAGAUGAUUGAGAAUAGUUAUAGAUAUAUAUUAAUAAUUGUCUAUCAUAUCCCAAUACCAAUAAAACAUGACAAAUUGUGA